AUACCAUAAAUGAUAGAUGGAGUAUGAAUCCUUAUGUGUGGUGGGUUACUUAUGGGGUGUAUGCUCCUUUACUUCAGCAAAAAGCACUCAUGUUGCUUGGCCAACCUUGUUCAUCUUCUUGUAGUGAGAGAAACUGGAGUACGUAUAGUUUCAUAAAUUCUGUGAAGAGAAAUAAAAUUACUCCACAAAGAGGUGAAGAUUUGGUAUUUGUUCAUACUAAUCUUCGUCUCUUAUCAAGACGAAGCCCAGAAUACUUGCUAGGGGAUACAAGAAUGUGGGACAUUGGAGGUGAUUCUUUUGAUACUAUGGAGGGUACUGUUGGUGUACUUGAAGUUGCUGAUCUUUCUCUUAAUGAGCCAGAGAUGGAACGCAUGAUAUUGGAUGAUAAUGAAGCUAAUGUGGAGGAGCUAUACCCCCUGGUUUGACUGUUGACGUUAUUUUUUGGUGACCAGCUGGAUCCUGGAUGUAGCGGCAUUCACAUCAUACUUGGAGGAUCCUUGUUUUUUGGGCUAGUAUUUGGUUCAUGAAGUUGCGCUGUUGCGGGAAGGACUUCACUCCCCUUUGCGAAGCCUUCUAAUUUUUUGUUGAUAUGUAUAUAUAUAGACUAGUAAAUGUCGCGGAAAGGACUUUACUCCCUUUUGCAAAGCCUUCUAAUUUUUUGUUGAUAUGUAUAUAUAGACUAGUAAAUGUCUAUAUAACCUUUUGUUGAUAAUGGAUAUCUAUGUUCUCCUGGAAGGCUGGAACAUUUAGACAGGUAAAUGCUUAAUCUUUUAUGUUAGGAAUGGGGACAAACAUAUAUAAUUUAAUGAAAAUAUUUAUAUA